rnacentral:rRNA from 1 species
CGCGCAGGCGGUCUUGUCCGUCAGGUGUGAAAGCUCGGGGCUCAACCCCGGAAGUGCACUUGAAACAGCAAGACUUGAAUACGGGAGAGGAGAGAGGAAUUCCUGGUGUAGAGGUGAAAUUCGUAGAUAUCAGGAGGAACACCGAUGGCGAAGGCAUCUCUCUGGACCGAUAUUGACGCUGAGGCGCGAAGGCAUGGGUAGCGGAACG